UAGUCCACGCCGUAAACGAUGAGAACUAGAUGUCGGGGGGAUCUGCCCUUCGGUGUCGCAGCUAACGCGUUAAGUUCUCCGCCUGGGGAGUACGCCGGCAACGGUAAAACUCAAAGGAAUUGACGGGGACCCGCACAAGCGGUGGAGCAUGUGGUUUAAUUCGAUGCAACGCGAAGAACCUUACCUGGCCUUGACAUCCUGAGAACUUUCUAGAGAUAGAUUGGUGCCUUCGGGAACUCAGUGACAGGUGCUGCAUGGCUGUCGUCAGCUCGUGUCGUGAGAUGUUGGGUUAAGUCCCGCAACGAGCGCAACCCUUGUCCUUAGUUGCCAGCACGUAAUGGUGGGAACUCUAAGGAGACUGCCGGUGACAAACCGGGAGGAAGGUGGGGACGACGUCAAGUCAUCAUGGCCUUACGGCCAGGGGCUACACACGUGCUACAA
rnacentral:rRNA from 1 species